rnacentral:lncRNA from 1 species
GACCACCCCGCUCCUAUCCGAUGGGUGACGUCCCCGUCAAUCUCUCCGUCCCCCUGAAUCACCGACCCAAGAUAUCUCACACUGUCCUUCUUGGCGAUGGCCUGAGAACCAAGCAUCACUUCUCCGCCUAACCCAUUCGGCUCGGCGCCAAAUUUGCACUCCAGAUAUUCUGUCUUAGACCUGCUUAUUUUGAAACCCUUAGACUCGAGGGUCUGUCUCCAUAUCUCUAAUCU